GAUGAACGCUGGCGGCGUGCCUAAUACAUGCAAGUCGAGCGAACAGACGAGGAGCUUGCUCCUCUGACGUUAGCGGCGGACGGGUGAGUAACACGUGGAUAACCUACCUAUAAGACUGGGAUAACUUCGGGAAACCGGAGCUAAUACCGGAUAAUAUAUUGAACCGCAUGGUUCAAUAGUGAAAGACGGUUUUGCUGUCACUUAUAGAUGGAUCCGCGCCGCAUUAGCUAGUUGGUAAGGUAACGGCUUACCAAGGCAACGAUGCGUAGCCGACCUGAGAGUGUGCUGGCCCACCGUGGAACUGGACCACGCCCCAGCCUCCUAGGGGGGGCACCAUGGGGCAUUCUUCCGAAGAGGCCGAAGCCCGGACGGCGCACCGCCGCGUGAUGAAUAAGGUUCUUGGAAUCUAAAACCUUUUUUAUUAGGAAAAAACAAAUUUGAAAGUAACUAUGCGCUUCUUGACGGUCCCUAAUCAGAAGCCCCCGCCUACCUACGUC
rnacentral:rRNA from 1 species